GGAAAUGUGGUUUAGUGGUAGAGUGCUUGCCUUUCAUGCAUGAAGCCGUGGAUUCGAUUCUUUAGUACCA
rnacentral:tRNA from 1 species